GACGUAGGGCGCGAGCGUUGUCCGGAUUUAUUGGGCGUAAAGAGCUCGUAGGCGGCUUGUCGCGUCGACUGUGAAAUCCCGCGGCUCAACUGCGGGUCUGCAGUCGAUACGGGCAGGCUAGAGUUCGGUAGGGGAGACUGGAAUCCCUGGUGUAGCGGUGAAAUGCGCAGAUAUCAGGAGGAACACCGAUGGCGAAGGCAGGUCUCUGGGCCGAUACUGACGCUGAGGAGCGAAAGCGUGGGGAGCGAACAGG
rnacentral:rRNA from 1 species